rnacentral:rRNA from 1 species
UCAAGCGCGAAAAGGGCGUUUGGUGGAUGCCUUGGCAGCAAGAGGCGAUGAAGGACGUGAUAAUCUGCGAUAAGCCGUGAGGAGCCGAUAAUAGGCUUUGAUCCACGGAUCUCCGAAUGGGGCAACCCACCUGACAGUUUGUUAUAAUAGCUUCGGCUACUUAUAACCGGCUGAAACAGGUACUUGAGACCUGAAUACAUAGGGUUUUAAGAGCAAACCCGGGGAACUGAAACAUCUAAGUACCCGGAGGAAAGGAAAUCAAUUGAUACUCCCCCAGUAGCGGCGAGCGAACGGGGACCAGCCGAGCCGAGAGUGUGACUGGAAUGGUCUGGAAAGGCCAACCAUAGCGGGUGACAGUCCCGUACAGGAAGCACAAUUGGACGCAUCAAGUAAGGCGGGACACGUGAAAUCCUGUCUGAAGAUCGGGGGACCACCCUCGAAGGCUAAGUACUCCUUGCUGACCGAUAGCGAACCAGUACCGUGAGGGAAAGGUGAAAAGCACCCCGACGAGGGGAGUGAAACAGUACCUGAAACCGAGCGCCUACAAACAGUCGGAGGUUCCUUGAGAGCUGACGGCGUACCUUUUGUAUAAUGGGUCAUCGACUUAGUGUAUCUAGCAAGCUUAAGCCGUUAGGUGUAGGCGCAGCGAAAGCGAGUCUUAAUAGGGCGACCGAGUUAGAUGCAUUAGACCCGAAACCGAGUGAUCUAGGCAUGGCCAGGUUGAAGGUAAGGUAACACUUACUGGAGGACCGAACCCACAUCUGUUGAAAAAGAUCGGGAUGAGCUGUGCCUAGGGGUGAAAGGCCAAUCAAACUCGGAGAUAGCUGGUUCUCUGCGAAAUCUAUUUAGGUAGAGCGUCAUCCGAAUACCCCCGGGGGUAGAGCACUGGAUGGGUAAUGGGGCCCCACAGGCUUACUGAUCCUAACCAAACUCCGAAUACCGGGGAGUACUAGAUGGCAGACACACCAUGGGUGCUAACGCCCAUGGUGGAGAGGGAAACAACCCUGACCUACAGCUAAGGCCCCCAAUUCAUGGCUAAGUGGGAAAGCAGGUGGGACGACCAAAACAACCAGGAGGUUGGCUUAGAAGCAGCCAUCCUUUAAAGAUAGCGUAACAGCUCACUGGUCUAAUCAAGUUGUCCUGCGGCGAAGAUGUAACGGGGCUCAAGCCAUGAGCCGAAGCUUAGGAUGCCGCAAGGCAUGGUAGCAGAGCGUAGUGUGACAUAACUCCGUGCCUCCUCAGCCGUCUCCGGACGGCCCUGGAGGCAAGGGAGCUUUCUGUGAAGCCGGGGCGUGAGCCAUCCGGUGGAGAGAUCACUAGCGAGAAUGAUGACAUGAGUAGCGAUAAACAGGGUGAGAGACCCUGUCGCCGAAAGUCCAAGGGUUCCUGCUUAAAGCUAAUCUGAGCAGGGUAAGCCGACCCCUAAGACGAGGCCGAAAGGCGUAGUCGAUGGGAACCAGGUUAAUAUUCCUGGGCCAGGAGGACGUGACGGAUCGAGACUGUUGUUCACCCUUAUCGGAUUGGGUGGGCCGCUGAUCGGUUCCUGGAAAUAGCCCUCCAUUGGAUCGUACCCUAAACCGACACAGGUGGACUGGUAGAGCAUACCAAGGCGCUUGAGAGAACGAUGUUGAAGGAACUCGGCAAAAUACCUCCGUAAGUUCGCGAGAAGGAGGCCCAGUUUCUACGCAAGUAUUGGCUGGGGGCACAAACCAGGGGGUGGCGACUGUUUACUAAAAACACAGGGCUCUGCGAAGUCGCAAGACGACGUAUAGGGUCUGACGCCUGCCCGGUGCCUGAAGGUUAAGUGGAGGUGUGAGAGCACCGAAACGAAGCCCAGGUAAACGGCGGCCGUAACUAUAACGGUCCUAAGGUAGCGAAAUUCCUUGUCGGGUAAGUUCCGACCUGCACGAAUGGCGUAACGACUUCCCCGCUGUCUCCAACAUCGACUCAGCGAAAUUGAAUUACCUGUCAAGAUGCAGGUUUCCCGCGGUUAGACGGAAAGACCCCGUGCACCUUUACUACAACUUCGCACUGGCAUCAGGCACAACAUGUGCAGGAUAGGUGGCAGGCUUUGAAACCGGGACGCCAGUUCCGGUGGAGCCAUCCUUGAGAUAUCACCCUUGUUCUGCUUGAUGUCUAACCGCGGCCCGUUACCCGGGUCCGGGACCCUGCGUGGUGGGUAGUUUGACUGGGGCGGUCGCCUCCUAAAUCGUAACGGAGGCGCGCGAAGGUUGGCUCAGAGCGGUCGGAAAUCGCUCGUUGAGUGCAAUGGCAGAAGCCAGCCUGACUGCGAGACUGACAAGUCGAGCAGAGUCGAAAGACGGCCAUAGUGAUCCGGUGGUCCCGAGUGGAAGGGCCAUCGCUCAACGGAUAAAAGGUACGCCGGGGAUAACAGGCUGAUACUGCCCAAGAGUCCAUAUCGACGGCAGUGUUUGGCACCUCGAUGUCGGCUCAUCUCAUCCUGGGGCUGGAGCAGGUCCCAAGGGUAUGGCUGUUCGCCAUUUAAAGAGGUACGUGAGCUGGGUUUAGAACGUCGUGAGACAGUUCGGUCCCUAUCUUCCGUGGGUGUAGGAUACUUGAGAGGAGUUGCCCCUAGUACGAGAGGACCGGGGUGAACGAUCCACUGGUGGACCUGUUGUUGCGCCAGCAGCAGUGCAGGGUAGCUAUGAUCGGACAGGAUAACCGCUGAAGGCAUCUAAGCGGGAAGCCCCCCUCAAAACAAGGUAUCCCUGAGGACCGAGGUAGACCACCUCGUCGAUAGGCCGGAGAUGUAAGCGCUGCAAGGCGUUCAGUUGACCGGUACUAAUGGUCCGAUAGGCUUGAUUUG